AAAUAGUACAGUACCGUUUUUGUUCGAUUGAACGUUGUAUUGCGUUUGUUUGUACUGAAUGCAGCCCAGUCGAUGCUGCCAGUGUGACGUAUAAUCUAGUGGACGGGACGCUUCUUCGAGAACAGCAACAGUUAGUCAGACGUUGUUGUGAAAGAAGAGAAGAUACCUUCGGAGUGAAAGAGGAUGUGGAUGUUACAGUAAAACACCAACAGCAGCUCUACACUUUAUUGACGGAAUGAUCCAUUCAUCCUUCCAUCCCUCCUCUCCUCUGAAUACCCAGUGAGGGUGGAGCUCAGUCAGAGAGCUGUUGAGGGACUGGUUAGGAAGAACACUUCUCCAGCCAGAGAGGGGCAGUCAAUAAAUGGAACGGCAAGACCACAGAACAUGACAUAAGCAGAGCUGUGGGAGACCACCUCAAGCCCCUGGUAUAGCCGGGGUUGGUGUUUACCACUCCAACAGCAGGCUGGAAAAGUGGGAUUGAUACUGUUUUUCAUACUAAGAUGGACCAAGAGUUUGUUGAUUGGUCGGUCAUUGGGUUAAUUUGUUUCGCAAUAUGUUCAAAUCAAAUCAAGCUUUAUUUAUACAGCACAUUUCAGACAUGUAUGCAACCCAAUGGCUUCACAGGAAAAAAAAAAAAACUAUUUAGUACACAAACAUAAGAGGAUAAAAAAAACUUAGACUAAUGAGCAUCCUAAGGAAAUGUCAUUGAUUAAAAUGUUAAAAUAUCCAACCUAAAAUAUUAGCUUGUUUUUUAGGAGGGGUUCUGAAAGACACUAUGGGGGUGUCCACUGGAAGUUGACUAGUAACAACAACAGGGACCUAAAAGACACCCACCAUG